rnacentral:rRNA from 1 species
UUUUUAAUUGAAAACUUGUAUGAAUGGUUGGACAAAGAACAAACUGUCUCUUUUGUUUUUAUUGAAUUUAACUUUUAAGUGAAAAGGCUUAAAUAUUCUAGAGGGACGAUAAGACCCUAUAAAGCUUUAUAAAUUUAAAAAUCUUAUAUAUUUUUAUAUAAAAAUAAUUUUUGAGGAGUUUAUUUGGUUGGGGCGACAGUGGUAUAAGUAAUGUAACUGCUAUAGUGUUUAACAAAAAUAUUUGUUUAGUGUAAGUAAUUGAUCCUUUAUAAGGAUUUUAAGAUCAAGUUACUUUAGGGAUAACAGCGUUAUUUUUUCUGAGAGUUCUUAUCUUUUUAAAAAGUUUGCGACCUCGAUGUUGAAUUAAAAUGUCUUUAUAGUGCAGCAGCUAUAAAAGAAGGUCUGUUCGACCUUUAAUAUUUUACGUGAU